rnacentral:rRNA from 1 species
ACGAACGCUGGCGGCGUGCUUCACACAUGCCAGUCGCACGGAAAGGCCCUGCUUUUGUGGGGUGCUCGAGUGGCGAACGGGUGAGUAACACGUGAGUAACCUGCCCUUGACUUUGGGAUAACUUCAGGAAACUGGGGCUAAUACCGGAUAGGAGCUCCUGCUGCAUGGUGGGGGUUGGAAAGUUUCGGCGGUUGGGGAUGGACUCGCGGCUUAUCAGCUUGUUGGUGGGGUAGUGGCUUACCAAGGCUUUGACGGGUAGCCGGCCUGAGAGGGUGACCGGCCACAUUGGGACUGAGAUACGGCCCAGACUCCUACGGGAGGCAGCAGUGGGGAAUAUUGCACAAUGGGCGGAAGCCUGAUGCAGCAACGCCGCGUGCGGGAUGACGGCCUUCGGGUUGUAAACCGCUUUCGCCUGUGACAAAGCGUGAGUGACGGUAAUGGGUAAAGAAGCACCGGCUAACUACGUG